UACGAAGGGGGCUAGCGUUGCUCGGAAUCACUGGGCGUAAAGCGCACGUAGGCGGUAUUGUUAAGUCAGGGGUGAAAUCCUGGAGCUCAACUCCAGAACUGCCUUUGAUACUGGCGAUCUUGAGUCCGGGAGAGGUGAGUGGGAACUGCGAGUGUAGAGGUGAAAUUCGUAGAUAUUCGCAAAGAACACCAGUGGCGAAGGCGGCUCACUGGCCCGUACUGGACGCUGAGGUGCGAAAGCGUGGGGAGCAAACAGG
rnacentral:rRNA from 1 species